rnacentral:rRNA from 1 species
GACAGAGGCCCCAAGCGUUAGGCGGAAUCACUGGGCUUAAAGCGUGUGUAGGCGGAUCGUUAAGUGUCUUGUGAAAUCCCACGGCUCACCCGUGGAACUGCUGGGCAUACUGGCGAUCUUGGGCCAACUAGGGGCAGUCGGAACAAGCGGUGGAGCGGUGAAAUGCGUAGAGAUCGGAAAGAACACCAACGGCGAAAGCACUCUGCUGGGCCGACACUGACACUGAGAGACGAAAGCUAGGGGAGCGAAUGGG